rnacentral:rRNA from 1 species
UGCAGUCGAACGGCAGCAUGAUCUAGCUUGCUAGAUUGAUGGCGAGUGGCGAACGGGUGAGUAAUACAUCGGAACGUGCCCUGUAGUGGGGGAUAACUAGUCGAAAGAUUAGCUAAUACCGCAUACGACCUGAGGGUGAAAGUGGGGGACCGCAAGGCCUCAUGCUAUAGGAGCGGCCGAUGUCUGAUUAGCUAGUUGGUGAGGUAAAGGCUCACCAAGGCGACGAUCAGUAGCUGGUCUGAGAGGACGAUCAGCCACACUGGGACUGAGACACGGCCCAGACUCCUACGGGAGGCAGCAGUGGGGAAUUUUGGACAAUGGGCGAAAGCCUGAUCCAGCAAUGCCGCGUGUGUGAAGAAGGCCUUCGGGUUGUAAAGCACUUUUGUCCGGAAAGAAAUGGCUCUGGUUAAUACCUGGGGUCGAUGACGGUACCGGAAGAAUAAGGACCGGCUAACUACGUGCCAGCAGCCGCGGUAAUACGUAGGGUCCAAGCGUUAAUCGGAAUUACUGGGCGUAAAGCGUGCGCAGGCGGUUGUGCAAGACCGAUGUGAAAUCCCCGAGCUUAACUUGGGAAUUGCAUUGGUGACUGCACGGCUAGAGUGUGUCAGAGGGGGGUAGAAUUCCACGUGUAGCAGUGAAAUGCGUAGAGAUGUGGAGGAAUACCGAUGGCGAAAGGCAGCCCCCUGGGAUAACACUGACGCUCAUGCACGAAAGCGUGGGGAGCAAACAGGAUUAGAUACCCUGGUAGUCCACGCCCUAAACGAUGUCAACUAGUUGUUGGGGAUUCAUUUCCUUAGUAACGUAGCUAACGCGUGAAGUUGACCGCCUGGGGAGUACGGUCGCAAGAUUAAAACUCAAAGGAAUUGACGG